GGAGCUUAGAUAGAAUGCUAACCCCUGGAACCUUUGGUUUAUUCCUUUUGUUUGUCCUGGGUCUCUCACGAAGGAAGCCUGAUCUGGCCUCAGACUCUUAAGUAGCUGAGGAUGACUCUGGACUUCUGAUUCUCCUGCCUCCAGCUUUCACUGCUGGAUUACAGGAGUCGGUGGAGGAGGUAUGUCACAGAAGGGGGCAAGAAGACACUUCCUAAUCCUUCCUGAAGUUCCACCAACUGGGACCAAGUAUUAUAAGACAUGAAUCUAUGGAGGCCGUUCUUCUGUUCUUUCCACCCCCAAAAAUAUGGGACUUAGAAUUUGCCACGAAUUAUGCUUGCCCCGGUGAAGACCACUGACCAUUGGUGGAGACUCACGGCUGCUUUUUACACGAUUACUGUCUGACAAACACACACCCAACCACACUUUGUAAGUACUAUACUUUAUGUUUUAUUUUAAAACAAGCAAACCUAUCUUCAAC